rnacentral:rRNA from 1 species
CAAUAGCGUAUAUUAAAGUUGUUGCAGUUAAAAAGCUCGUAGUUGGAUUUCUGGUCGGAAGCUCCUGUCCUCUGAUGAGCGUACAAGUGCGUCCUACCAUCCUUCUGUUAACCUUUAAGGCUUUCGCGGCUUUCUAGGGGCUCAGAUAUUUUACCUUGAGAAAAUUAGGGUGUUUCAGGCAGGCUAGCGCCGGAAUACAUUAGCAUGGAAUAAUGGAAUAGGACUUUUGCCUCUUCUGUUGGUCAUGAGGCUCGAGUAAUGAUUAAUAGGGAUAGUUGGGGGCAUUAGUACUUAACUGUCAGAGGUGAAAUUCUCGGAUUUGUUAAAGACUAACUUAUGCGAAAGCAUUUGCCAAGGAUGUUUUCAUUGA